UCCUGGCUCAGGAUGAAACGCUGGCGGCGUGCUUAACACAUGCAAGUCGAAACGAUGAUCCGGUGCUUGCACCGGGGAUUAGUGGCGAACGGGUGAGUAACACGUGAGUAACCUGCCCUUGACUCUGGGAUAAGCCUGGGAAACUGGGUCUAAUACCGGAUAUGACUCCUCAUCGCAUGGUGGGGGGUGGAAAGCUUUUGCGGUUUUGGAUGGACUCGCGGCCUAUCAGCUUGUUGGUGAGGUAAUGGCUUACCAAGGCGACGACGGGUAGCCGGCCUGAGAGGGUGACCGGCCACACUGGGACUGAGACACGGCCCAGACUCCUACGGGAGGCAGCAGUGGGGAAUAUUGCACAAUGGGCGGAAGCCUGAUGCAGCGACGCCGCGUGAGGGAUGACGGCCUUCGGGUUGUAAACCUCUUUCAGUAGGGAAGAAGCGAAAGUGACGGUACCUGCAGAAGAAGCGCCGGCUAACUACGUGCCAGCAGCCGCGGUAAUACGUAGGGCGCAAGCGUUAUCCGGAAUUAUUGGGCGUAAAGAGCUCGUAGGCGGUUUGUCGCGUCUGCCGUGAAAGUCCGGGGCUCAACUCCGGAUCUGCGGUGGGUACGGGCAGACUAGAGUGAUGUAGGGGAGACUGGAAUUCCUGGUGUAGCGGUGAAAUGCGCAGAUAUCAGGAGGAACACCGAUGGCGAAGGCAGGUCUCUGGGCAUUAACUGACGCUGAGGAGCGAAAGCAUGGGGAGCGAACAGGAUUAGAUACCCUGGUAGUCCAUGCCGUAAACGUUGGGCGCUAGGUGUGGGGGACAUUCCACGUUUUCCG
rnacentral:rRNA from 1 species